AUUGAACGCUGGCGGCAUGCCUUACACAUGCAAGUCGAACGGCAGCACGGGUGCUUGCACCUGGUGGCGAGUGGCGAACGGGUGAGUAAUACAUCGGAACAUGUCCUGUAGUGGGGGAUAGCCCGGCGAAAGCCGGAUUAAUACCGCAUACGAUCUACGGAUGAAAGCGGGGGACCUUCGGGCCUCGCGCUAUAGGGUUGGCUGAUGGCUGAUUAGCUAGUUGGUGGGGUAAAGGCCUACCAAGGCGACGAUCAGUAGCUGGUCUGAGAGGACGACCAGCCACACUGGGACUGAGACACGGCCCAGACUCCUACGGGAGGCAGCAGUGGGGAAUUUUGGACAAUGGGCGAAAGCCUGAUCCAGCAAUGCCGCGUGUGUGAAGAAGGCCUUCGGGUUGUAAAGCACUUUUGUCCGGAAAGAAGUCCUUGGCCCUAAUACGGUCGGGGGAUGACGGUACCGGAAGAAUAAGCACCAGCUAACUACGUG
rnacentral:rRNA from 1 species